GACGAACGCUGGCGGCGUGCCUAAUACAUGCAAGUAGAACGCUGAAGAGAGGAGCUUGCUCUUCUUGGAUGAGUUGCGAACGGGUGAAUAACGCGUAGGUAACCUGCCUUGUAGCGGGGGAUAACUAUUGGAAACGAUAGCUAAUACCGCAUAACAAUGGAUGACACAUGUCAUUUAUUUGAAAGGGGCAAUUGCUCCACUACAAGAUGGACCUGCGUUGUAUUAGCUAGUAGGUGAGGUAAUGGCUCACCUAGGCGACGAUACAUAGCCGACCUGAGAGGGUGAUCGGCCACACUGGGACUGAGACACGGCCCAGACUCCUACGGGAGGCAGCAGUAGGGAAUCUUCGGCAAUGGGGGCAACCCUGACCGAGCAACGCCGCGUGAGUGAAGAAGGUUUUCGGAUCGUAAAGCUCUGUUGUAAGUCAAGAACGGGUGUGAGAGUGGAAAGUUCACACUGUGACGGUAGCUUACCAGAAAGGGACGGCUAACUACGUG
rnacentral:rRNA from 1 species